UCUAUAUUUGCAGGUGUGAGCCACAGCCACUGACAUUGAAAGGAUGGUAACGCUACCAAGCACACCUCGCUUGAUUGUCCAAGGUGUUUUGGGGCAUCAAUCCAGAGAUGGGCACAAAAUCGAAGAGACAGCGAGGACAAAUCAACCAGCAAGUGUGUACACUAAUCAGGAAGCUCAUUGACUUUAAGUGGAUGUCAAAGUAGACAGUGAAAGGCAAAACAUGAAUACAGCAUGAGGUUUACGGUUUUAUAAGUGUUUUUAAUAUUUCAAUGUUCUGUUUUUUAAUUGAUUCAUGUUAAACUGGAGGUGAAAAAUGUCUUUAAAAUUCAAUUGUAUGUAUAUUGCGCAAAUUUUUUUAAGUGGUACCAAAGCACAAACCGUUUGCAGCUUUAAUUAUCAGUUAAUCUGCUCGAUUAAUCAAUUAACUGAUUAGUGUAUAAAAUGUCAAACAUUUUGAGAAAUGCUCUUUACAAUUUCCCAGUGCCCAAAGUAACAUCAAUGCAGUAGUUGCACUGUCCUGUAAAGUUUAUAUAAAACUGCAAAAUAAAUGUGUAAAAUAGA